UCCCUACAAGUUUGUUCUUUUUGUUGUUACAGCAAAGACUACUUCCUGGGUUGUCGAGGAUGCUAGGUCAAGAAUGCAGGGUGGGCGAAAGAAAAUUGUGAAUGCUUUUAUCUCCGUGGUCAUUUGGAUCAUAUGGAGGGACAAGAUAGCGGGCUUUAAUAGUGUCUUCGCGCUGCUCCAGAGAGUCAUCGAUCCUGAUACUAGGCAGUAGGCUGGUGUGAGCUUGGGUCAUUUGAUCAUCCCCGAUUGUGUAAAGACUCCUCUGGAAUAUAUGCAAUCCUAUUGCAUGGUUUAAAAAAGAAUGAUUCUGAAACGGGCGUAAAGCAGUGUACGUGCUUGGCCACAGCUAAACCUACUAAUAUAUGGAAUUUUUUUCAAAGCACAGAUGGUGUUAGUGGGUCUCUGCUCCAGUUGGCGCAACGGGUGGUAUCAUGCCCAUGCCUAUAUGACACGAUAUACUUCUUUGUAAUGUAAUCAGUUGUGCAUGUCAAUGGAAGUGGUUUAAAGCA